UGUGUGUACAUGAUUGUAUAAGUUUGUGGCACUGCAAUUGUUUAGGUGGAUUUUCUCAAGGAGGUGCUAUUGCUCUCUAUGCAGGAGUAACAGCAGAGAAGCAAUUAGCAGGCAUUACAGCUCUAGGUACAUACUUUCCACUUGAUCACAACGUAUUUCAGAUAGAAAAAGCUAAUGUCCAUACUCCAAUAUUUCAAUGUCAUGGUAAUUGUGACCUUCUCGUGCCGUAGAGUUUAGUAUCAAUUAUCGGACACUCCCCAAUAGCGGACACUGGCGUACGGAAACCAGACGAAGAUUUCAUAUAUCUAAGGCAUGAAUGUAGAGAGUAGUCACACGGUAACACGACCUGCUAGAUUCAGCUUGAUUA